rnacentral:rRNA from 1 species
GUGUCAGCCGCCGCGGUAAUACGGAGGGCGCAAGCGUUGUUCGGAAUUACUGGGCGUAAAGCGCGUGUAGGCGGCCUGAAAAGUCGAAUGUGAAAUCCCGGAGCUCAACUCCGGAACUGCAUACGAUACUGUCAGGCUCGAGUCUCGGAGAGGACGGCGGAAUUUCCGGUGUAGAGGUGAAAUUCGUAGAUAUCGGAAGGAACACCAGUGGCGAAGGCGGCCGUCUGGACGAUGACUGACGCUGAGACGCGAAAGCGUGGGGAGCAAACAGGAUUAGAAACCCCCGUAGUCC